rnacentral:rRNA from 1 species
UACGUAGGGUGCAAGCGUUGUCCGGAAUUAUUGGGCGUAAAGCGCGUGUAGGCGGCUUGUUAAGUCGGGUGUGAAAGCCCUCAGCUCAACUGAGGAAGGGCGCCCGAAACUGGCAAGCUUGAGUGUCGGAGAGGAUGGCGGAAUACCCCAAGUAGAGGUGAAAUUCGUAGAUAUGGGGUGGAACACCGGUGGCGAAGGCGGCCAUCUGGACGACAACUGACGCUGAGACGCGAAAGCGUGGGGAGCAAACAGG